UACGUAGGGGGCAAGCGUUGUCCGGAUUUAUUGGGCGUAAAGAGCGUGUAGGCGGUUUGGUAGGUCCGUUGUGAAAACUCGAGGCUCAACCUCGAGACGCCGGCGGAAACCAUCAGGCUAGAGUCCGGAAGAGGAGAGUGGAAUUCCCGGUGUAGCGGUGAAAUGCGCAGAUAUCAGGAAGAACACCCGUGGCUAAGGCGGCUCUCUAGUACGGUACUGACGCUGAGACGCGAAAGCGUGGGGAGCGAACAGG
rnacentral:rRNA from 1 species